rnacentral:rRNA from 1 species
GACGAACGCUGGCGGCGUGCUUAACACAUGCAAGUCGAACGAUGAACUUGGAGCUUGACCUGGGGGAUUAGUGGCGAACGGGUGAGUAACACGGGAGUAACCUGACCUGUACUCUGGGGAAACUUCGAGAAAUAGGAGAUAAUACCGGAUAGGACCUUGCACCGCCUGGCGUGGGGUGGGAAGUCUUUCGGUCUGGGAUGGAAUCGCGGCCUAUCAGCGUGUUGGUUAGGUCAUGGCGCACCAAGGCGUCGAGGGGUAGCCGGCCUGAGAGGGUGACCGGACACACUGGGACUGAGACACGGCCCAGACUCCUACGGGAGGCAGCAGUGGGGAAUAUUGCACAAUGGGCGCAAGCCUGAUGCAGCAACGCCGCGUGCGGGAUGACGGCCUUCGGGUUGUAAACCGCUUUUAGUAGGGAAGAAGCCUCUUGGGGUGACGGUACCUGCAGAAAAAGGACCGGCUAACUACGUGCCAGCCGCCGCGGUAAUAC